GACGAACGCUGGCGGCGUGCUUAACACAUGCAAGUCGAACGAAGUGGCGAACGGGUGAGUAACGCGUAAUCAACCUGCCCUUCAGAGGGGGACAACAGUUGGAAACGACUGCUAAUACCGCAUACUGAAGGAGGGGAUUGCGUCUGAUUAGCUAGUUGGAGGGGUAACGGCCCACCAAGGCGAAGAUCAGUAGCCGGGUUGAGAGGGUUAACGGCCAAAUUGGGACCGAGAAAAGGCCCAGACUUCUACGGGAGGCAGCAGGGGGGAAUCUUCCGAAAUGGACGAAAGGCUGACGGAGCAACGCCGCGGGAGUGAUGACGGCCUUCGGGUUGGAAAGCUCUGUUAAUCGGGACGCGGUACCGGAAUAGAAAGCCACGGCUAACUACGUGCCAGCAGCCGCGGUAAUUC
rnacentral:rRNA from 1 species